rnacentral:rRNA from 1 species
AGUGAACGCUGGCGGUAGGCCUAACACAUGCAAGUCGAACGGCAGCACAGGAGAGCUUGCUCUCUGGGUGGCGAGUGGCGGACGGGUGAGGAAUACAUCGGAAUCUACUCUGUCGUGGGGGAUAACGUAGGGAAACUUACGCUAAUACCGCAUACGACCUACGGGUGAAAGCAGGGGACCUUCGGGCCUUGCGCGAUUGAAUGAGCCGAUGUCGGAUUAGCUAGGUGGCGGGGUAAAGGCCCACCAAGGCGACGAUCCGUAGCUGGGCUGAAGGGGUGAUCAGCCAAACUGGAACUGUGGCACGGUCCAGACUCCUACGGGGGGCAGCAGUGGGGAAUAGUGGACAAUGGGCGCAAGCCUGAUCCAGCCAUACCGCGUGGGUGAAGAAGGCCUUCGGGUUGUGAAGCCCUUUUGUUGGGAAAGAAAUCCAGCUGGCUAAUACCCGGUUGGGAUGACGGUACCCAAAGAAUAAGCACCGGCUAACUUCGUGCCAGCCGCCGCCGUAA